rnacentral:rRNA from 1 species
UACGUAGGGUGCUAGCGUUGUCCGGAUUUAUUGGGCGUAAAGGGCUCGUAGGCGGUCUGUCGCGUCGGGAGUGAAAACUCGGGGCUUAACCCCGAGCCUGCUUCCGAUACGGGCAGACUAGAGGUAUGCAGGGGAGAAUGGAAUUCCUGGUGUAGCGGUGAAAUGCGCAGAUAUCAGGAGGAACACCGGUGGCGAAGGCGGUUCUCUGGGCAUUACCUGACGCUGAGGAGCGAAAGUGUGGGGAGCGAACAGG